rnacentral:lncRNA from 1 species
CGUCCUUCGUUCUCCCUUUCUACCGUUCCGAUUUUCAGACAGCAUCUCCACCAUGGACCGUCACCGCCGCUACAGUUAUUGGACAAAACUUUUCUGCAAACCUUAUAUUUUCUGUGUUUUCUAGUAUGGUUAUUGGUAUCUGACUCGUCUCUGUAAUUGUCUUUUCCUGACUUGGGUUUUGUACUUUUGAUUAUGUCGCCUCUUUCGAUGGCCAAAUUGCUUCUGUCAAUUUGUGUUUCUGAUGAUGGCAAUGUAGUGUGUAGGUUCGGUGAUGAAAGAUUAGGUUUGCAAGUGAUGAUAAUAUGUUGGAAUGCUACUAUUUCAGUGGCUGUGUAGGGUCCAAGAUUGCUAACUUGUGGUGUAUUUGCUGGAUAUGGGUUAUAUGGCAGAGUCGGCUUGGAAGAGAUUCUGGUAGCAAGAAUGCCGUUGAAAUGAUGAUAUGAGGAGGCUGAGUAUAACUGGCUGGAUUCAGUUUGGUGUUUAGACAGAGAUGGCAGUGUGGUGAUUGAACUACAGUGGUGGAGUUCUUUACUGGCAGCGACUCAAGAAAUGGUAGUGGAGAAUGGAGGAGGUUGGCAAUAGUAUGAGAAAGUUAUGGCUUGGCUGAAUUGUCUGCAGGGAAAGAGGAAGGGAUCGGCUGAUAGUGGACUACCUAGGAACUGAUUGAGUUUUCUGGGAUUUGCUCGACUGUUUUCUCUUUAAUUUCUGGGAUGAUCCCUGUGUUUUUCUCCUCUUUUGUGU